rnacentral:snRNA from 1 species
AUCGCUUUCUCGGCCUUUUGGCUAAGAUCAAGUGUAGUAUCUGUUCUUAUCAGUUUAAUAUUUAUCCCUCACAACUCCAUCAGGUAGGUACUGCUAUUGUCCUAGUUACAUAAAUGA